AUUGAACGCUGGCGGCAGGCCUAACACAUGCAAGUCGAACGAGUGGCGGACGGGUGAGUAAUGUAUGGGAAACUGCCCGAUGGAGGGGGAUAACUACUGGAAACGGUAGCUAAUACCGCAUACCAUCGGAUGUGCCCAGAUGGGAUUAGCUAGUAGGUGGGGUAACGGCUCACCUAGGCGACGAUCCCUAGCUGGUCUGAGAGGAGGACAAGCCAAACUGGAACGGAGACACGGUCCAGACUCCUACGGGAGGCAGCAGGGGGGAAGAUUGCACAAUGGGCGCGAGCCGGAUGCAGCCAGGCCGCGUGUAUGAAGGAGGCCUUCGGGUUUUAAUGUACUUUCAGCGAGGAGGCGUUACUCGCAGAAGAAGCACCGGCUAACUCCGUGCCAGCAGCCGCGGUAAUUC
rnacentral:rRNA from 1 species